GUGCUGGCUUCAGCAGCACAUAUACUAAAAUUGGAUCAAUACAGAGAGUACAUGGCCCCUGUGCAAGGAUGACAUGCAUAUUUUAAAAAAUAAGCCAGGUGUG
rnacentral:snRNA from 1 species